AUUGCUUCUUGGCCUUUUGGCUGAGAUCUAGCAUCUCUUCUUGUCAGUUUGAUGUCUGAUAUGUCCUCUAGCUGAGGACAAUAUAUUGAGUGGAUUUUUGGAGCUAGGAGUUGGAGUAGGUGCUUGCUCCGUCCACUCUGCACCUCAACCUGGUAUUGCAGUACCUCCUGGAAUGGUGCAAUAGAA